UUUUCUGCCCCACUCAGACGUUUGCUUGUUUCAGCACAACUUUGCGUAGUAUCAUAAUUCAUAAACCAACUACAAUAAAAUAUAAACAAAACGUAACAAGCUAGAAAUCAGUAUUGUAAAAGCUCGUGGAUUAAAACACAGUACUGUCUGAAAUAACAAUUUUGCAACUGUCCUACACAGCAAAGUUUAGUUCCUCAUACCUACAGUAACCCUUAAAAUGAAAAGAUUAAUGAGGAUAUUGCACAUCAUUUAUUUAACACCUACAUUUGACUAAGCACUACAAACAGCACAUCCUACUUAAACUCGCACCUAGUUCAAAAGGAGGAAAUAUAAACACAAAUACAUGAGCAUAUUGACAUCAUGGAACGCGCUUGCCCGACAACAGCACUUCUGCGUGGUGCUCGGAACUGCGCUGGUGGAG